rnacentral:lncRNA from 1 species
CUUUUCUCUUAAAUGGUUGAGAUUUUCUCUUACCAAGCACACCCCAAUAUUCAUUAAACUAGCUGUGAACAGGCAGCAACUGGUCUACCAUAACAGAUGGGUUUUAUAACAGAGCCCAGCCAUCCUACUGGGGCUAAGACCUCAAGGAAAGUCAAGUCUAUCAUUGGGAAAAGUCUUGGGGCUCUCAGUUUUGAAUUCUGAAAAUUUGUCUUAGAACAAAGUUUUGUGUCAUUUUCAAACUUUUCAAGCCACUUUUUGCACAAGGUUUCCUCUAAAAAGUUAGUAUUUGUAGUCCUCCUUCCCACCUCACUUUUACACCUCUCCCAUUUCAUCAUCAGACUCCGCUACCUUGGCCAGUUCAGGCUGCCACAACAGAAUAGGCCAGGUGGCUGAAACACCAAGCAUUUAUUUCUCACCGUCCUGGAGGCUGGAAAAUCCAAGAUUAAGGUGUCAGCAGGUCCGGUAUCUGGCGACGGCCCUCUCUUCCUCACCAGACAGCUGUCUUCCUGUUGUAUCCUCACACAGUGGGGAGCAGAGAAUGACAGCAAGCUCUCCUGUCACCUCUAAAUCCCACAGGGCUACACUUGCAUGACUAAUGACUUAAAUGUCAUCACUUUGAGAGUUAGGAUUUCUGCAUAUGAAUUUGGAGGGCAGGCAAACAUGUGGCGUGUAACAUCACCCAUAUCCAUUCCACAUCUAGAUUCCCUCUGUGUGCCAGGCAGUAUGCCAGUUAAUUCAAGUGCAUGUCAGACUCAGAGGGUGAUUUCCUGUGACUCAGAUGCUGGGACUCUGGUGAUGCCUGCCCAGCAGAAAUUCUAACAUUCGCCAGGCUUGGCCCUGCUUAGGGCACUGUAGAAGGAGCCUCUGAGGAAAAUCUUGGUGCAAGGAGAAGAUCUCCCACAUGGAUUUCCAGCACCCUCUGCUUUCUGGGAAUUCCUGAAUUUCUUUGGCUAUUGUCACAGGGGCUCUGCCACACAGUUCCCCUGGCUGCUGGCCCCUGACACCUCAGAGAGCUUUAGUCUUCCAGGAAGCCCCUGCCCAGGAAGAAGGUAGCAAAUAUUUUCUUAUUGUUUGUUGCCUACAAUGCCUUGGAUGUUGUGUUGAUUAUGC